rnacentral:rRNA from 1 species
GUGGGGAAUCUUGCGCAAUGGGCGAAAGCCUGACGCAGCCAUGCCGCGUGAAUGAUGAAGGUCUUAGGAUUGUAAAAUUCUUUCACCGGGGACGAUAAUGACGGUACCCGGAGAAGAAGCUCCGGCUAACUUCGUGCCAGCAGCCGCGGUAAUACGAAGGGGGCUAGCGUUGCUCGGAAUUACUGGGCGUAAAGGGCGCGUAGGCGGACAGUUUAGUCAGAGGUGAAAGCCCAGGGCUCAACCUUGGAAUUGCCUUUGAUACUGGCUGUCUUGAGUACGGGAGAGGUGAGUGUAACUCCGAGUGUAGAGGUGAAAUUCGUAGAUAUUCGGAAGAACACCAGUGGCGAAGGCGACUCACUGGCCCGUUACUGACGCUGAGGCGCGAAAGCGUGGGGAGCAAACAGGAUUAGAUACCCUUGUAGUCC